rfam:Gossypium hirsutum cultivar TM-1 chromosome 19, whole genome shotgun sequence
CUCAAGGAAGCAUUUUGUCCACGUGGACACAAAGCACUCUCUCAAGGAAGCGUUAUUUGUCCACGUGGACAAAGCGCUUCCUUGAGG